CCCUUAGAUGUCCUGGGCCGCACGCGCGCUACACUGAGUGUCUGAGAUACGAGUCUGCCUGGUCCGGCAAGGUCUAGGUAAUCGCUAAAAGACACAUCAUGCUUGGGAUAGAUUAUUGCAAAUAUUAAUCUUGAACGAGGAAUUCCUAGUAAACGCAAGUCAUCAGCUUGCAUUGAUUACGUCCCUGCCCUUUGUACACACCGCCCGUCGCUCCUACCGAUUGAAUGUUCCGAUGAAUACCAUGGACUGAGAGUAUGAAUGGGUUCGCUUAUUUCUGCUUCUCGGGAAGUGGAGUAAAUCUUAACAUUUAGAGGAAGGAGAAGUCGUAACA
rnacentral:rRNA from 1 species